CGUAGGGUGCGAGCGUUAAUCGGAAUUACUGGGCGUAAAGCGUGCGCAGGCGGUUUUGUAAGACAGAUGUGAAAUCCCCGGGCUCAACCUGGGACCUGCAUUUGUGACUGCAAGGCUAGAGUGCGGUAGAGGGGGAUGGAAUUCCGCGUGUAGCAGUGAAAUGCGUAGAUAUGCGGAGGAACACCGAUGGCGAAGGCAAUCCCCUGGACCUGUACUGACGCUCAUGCACGAAAGCGUGGGGAGCAAACAGGAUUAGAUACCCUGGUAGUCCACGCCCUAAACGAUGUCAACUGGUUGUUGGGUCUUACUGACUCAGUAACGAAGCUAACGCGUGAAGUUGACCGCCUGGGGAGUACGGCCGCAAGGUUG
rnacentral:rRNA from 1 species